rnacentral:rRNA from 1 species
UACAGAGGGUGCGAGCGUUGUCCGGAAUUACUGGGCGUAAAGGGCGCGUAGGCGGCUUGGUAAGUCGGGGGUGAAAGUCAGCGGCUCAACCGCUGGACUGCCUUCGAGACUGCCUGGCUUGAGCAUGGUAGAGGCUGGCGGAAUUCCCGGUGUAGCGGUGGAAUGCGUAGAGAUCGGGAAGAACAUCGGUGGCGAAGGCGGCCAGCUGGGCCAUUGC